rnacentral:lncRNA from 1 species
CUUCUCGGGGUAACGCCGCCCCUCUGCCCGAGCUCCGGUGCGCUCCAGGUGCGGGCUGCGGCUCGAAGGUGCGCCAAAGGCACGUUAUGGUUGCCUAAAGUUAAUUAAGAAGAAACCAGUUCUUCAGUUUCAAACCAUUUCUUGGAAGAAAUGUUGCAGAACAAGAAGGAAGACAUUGUUCUGGAAGGGACCCACAUGCUGUCAUUCAUGGCCCAAGGUGUUUUUUACCCUUCAUUUACAGCAUGUCAUAUACAACUACAGAAGCCUCAGUCUGUAUUUUAGGGGUGAAGGAGCCGUGCAUCUAAAAGACACAGCUUGAUGGAGAAGAAGAGAAAGUAAGAGAGCAGGAGACAGGAGCAGAAGAAGGGAGAGAAGCUGUUCCUAGGAUGUGGAUUAUGGAUUGCACCUGUGCACUGGAAACAAACACAGAUUCUCCUGUGUGAGCAUGGCAGCGGUAUUGGUGUAAUGAGCUCUUCUUGGGUAAGUUAACACAACAAAUGGAUCUAGUUCCCAGUGAUGGGUCUGGGUGACAUGCUCACCCAACACAGGACAGGGAGGUAAGAAUAGGAUUAUGGGAUCUUCCAGCCCAGAGCCUGGCUUCUAGCAUCAGACAGCAUGGCCUUUUGCAUUAAGUCCACAGACAAACCCCAGUCAACACAACUGGUUCACAGAGCUCAGAGAGACACCAGCUCUAGUAAGGAGGGACAGAAAUGCAUGACCUUA